UCAGGCCUGUAUAUCACAGCAAGGCAGCCAGUCCUGUAAACAGAUGUCACAUGCAGAGAAACACAAUUAGACAUUGAGCAACAUCAGUUGACACAUUGACACCGAAUCCCAGCUUUACCUCACGUGAUCUCAUGGCGGCCUCUGAGGUCCAGUUACAAGAAACACAGAAAGUUUUCAUAAAAGCACUUCCCUGUCUGAACUAAAAUGUUUUUUAUUUCCCUCUCUGUCCUUAAUGUCGAGCUACUUGAGCAAAGGCGGGGUCAGGGGUAUUCGGGGUCUUUGGAAUCCGGCACAACCUACAAUAAACAAUUACAGACUGUCAAUCCCUCGGUGCACUUGUUAGUGCGGGGCCUUGGGCGGUCCCCCCAUGCUCGUCCCUCCCCACUUAGGCUGUGCACUAAAUAUAGGAGAGUAAAGAAAGAAGUCCGGGUUUUCUCACCUGACACAACCUUUCAGUUUCACGCUCCACUGACGUUUGAAAGCUGUUGAGACGCACGUUGUAUCAAGAGACAAACAAUGCCCAGUCACCUGCAGGAAGUAGUUCACUCCAGUGUGGCGCCAUCUUGUGAGGACGUAGCUACAGGAGUUUACUGACUACAGAGUCAGACGGUGUGUCAGGGAGUACUAGAGGCAACCAUUCUUGUUAACUCACUGAUGAUGGUUGUUCCGAGAUGGACCUGACAGUGAUCUACUCUCUCAUCCUCCUCCAGCUUAUCUCAGUCUUUGUUGUUCCAAAUAACAGUACAUGCUGUGUUGGAACCUGCAACGGCUGUAACAAUAACUGCAACAGCUGUAACAAAACUGCAACAGCUGUAAACAAAUCUGCAACAGCUGUUGCAAGUAAGUUGAUGAUUUAAGCCUUUUCUGCAACAGCUCAUACUUCAUAUAUACAUUGAAAACGUAUACUG